rnacentral:rRNA from 1 species
GGGUUGUGAGGUUAAGCGACUAAGCGUACACGGUGGAUGCCCUGGCAGUCAGAGGCGAUGAAGGACGUGCUAAUCUGCGAUAAGCGUCGGUAAGGUGAUAUGAACCGUUAUAACCGGCGAUUUCCGAAUGGGGAAACCCAGUGUGAUUCGUCACACUAUCAUUAACUGAAUCCAUAGGUUAAUGAGGCGAACCGGGGGAACUGAAACAUCUAAGUACCCCGAGGAAAAGAAAUCAACCGAGAUUCCCCCAGUAGCGGCGAGCGAACGGGGAGCAGCCCAGAGCCUGAAUCAGUGUGUGUGUUAGUGGAAGCGUCUGGAAAGGCGUGCGAUACAGGGUGACAGCCCCGUACACAAAAAUGCACAUACUGUGAGCUCGAUGAGUAGGGCGGGACACGUGGUAUCCUGUCUGAAUAUGGGGGGACCAUCCUCCAAGGCUAAAUACUCCUGACUGACCGAUAGUGAACCAGUACCGUGAGGGAAAGGCGAAAAGAACCCCGGCGAGGGGAGUGAAAAAGAACCUGAAACCGUGUACGUACAAGCAGUGGGAGCCUCUUAAUGGGGUGACUGCGUACCUUUUGUAUAAUGGGUCAGCGACUUAUAUUCUGUAGCAAGGUUAACCGAAUAGGGGAGCCGAAGGGAAACCGAGUCUUAACUGGGCGUUAAGUUGCAGGGUAUAGACCCGAAACCCGGUGAUCUAGCCAUGGGCAGGUUGAAGGUUGGGUAACACUAACUGGAGGACCGAACCGACUAAUGUUGAAAAAUUAGCGGAUGACUUGUGGCUGGGGGUGAAAGGCCAAUCAAACCGGGAGAUAGCUGGUUCUCCCCGAAAGCUAUUUAGGUAGCGCCUCGUGAAUUCAUCUCCGGGGGUAGAGCACUGUUUCGGCAAGGGGGUCAUCCCGACUUACCAACCCGAUGCAAACUGCGAAUACCGGAGAAUGUUAUCACGGGAGACACACGGCGGGUGCUAACGUCCGUCGUGAAGAGGGAAACAACCCAGACCGCCAGCUAAGGUCCCAAAGUCAUGGUUAAGUGGGAAACGAUGUGGGAAGGCCCAGACAGCCAGGAUGUUGGCUUAGAAGCAGCCAUCAUUUAAAGAAAGCGUAAUAGCUCACUGGUCGAGUCGGCCUGCGCGGAAGAUGUAACGGGGCUAAACCAUGCACCGAAGCUGCGGCAGCGACACUAUGUGUUGUUGGGUAGGGGAGCGUUCUGUAAGCCUGUGAAGGUGUACUGUGAGGUAUGCUGGAGGUAUCAGAAGUGCGAAUGCUGACAUAAGUAACGAUAAAGCGGGUGAAAAGCCCGCUCGCCGGAAGACCAAGGGUUCCUGUCCAACGUUAAUCGGGGCAGGGUGAGUCGACCCCUAAGGCGAGGCCGAAAGGCGUAGUCGAUGGGAAACAGGUUAAUAUUCCUGUACUUGGUGUUACUGCGAAGGGGGGACGGAGAAGGCUAUGUUGGCCGGGCGACGGUUGUCCCGGUUUAAGCGUGUAGGCUGGUUUUCCAGGCAAAUCCGGAAAAUCAAGGCUGAGGCGUGAUGACGAGGCACUACGGUGCUGAAGCAACAAAUGCCCUGCUUCCAGGAAAAGCCUCUAAGCAUCAGGUAACAUCAAAUCGUACCCCAAACCGACACAGGUGGUCAGGUAGAGAAUACCAAGGCGCUUGAGAGAACUCGGGUGAAGGAACUAGGCAAAAUGGUGCCGUAACUUCGGGAGAAGGCACGCUGAUAUGUAGGUGAAGUCCCUCGCGGAUGGAGCUGAAAUCAGUCGAAGAUACCAGCUGGCUGCAACUGUUUAUUAAAAACACAGCACUGUGCAAACACGAAAGUGGACGUAUACGGUGUGACGCCUGCCCGGUGCCGGAAGGUUAAUUGAUGGGGUUAGCGGUAACGCGAAGCUCUUGAUCGAAGCCCCGGUAAACGGCGGCCGUAACUAUAACGGUCCUAAGGUAGCGAAAUUCCUUGUCGGGUAAGUUCCGACCUGCACGAAUGGCGUAAUGAUGGCCAGGCUGUCUCCACCCGAGACUCAGUGAAAUUGAACUCGCUGUGAAGAUGCAGUGUACCCGCGGCAAGACGGAAAGACCCCGUGAACCUUUACUAUAGCUUGACACUGAACAUUGAGCCUUGAUGUGUAGGAUAGGUGGGAGGCUUUGAAGUGUGGACGCCAGUCUGCAUGGAGCCGGCCUUGAAAUACCACCCUUUAAUGUUUGAUGUUCUAACGUUGGCCCCUGA